CAAAUGUGUUUUAUUUAUAUGUUUUGAAACAGGUUUUGCCUGGCAUUUUGCAGAAGCAUUGCUGUAUCUUACCAGACAGGAAUACAGAUGACCGCGCCGUUUCCCCGAUGUGCCCUCGGGGUGAGGUCACCCGGGACCCUGGUGUUCACUUACGUGGAGACCGUUUUCUUCGUUCGUUACCAUGCUCACCUCCACAUCUGCAAACUGAGAAAGGUUCACGACAGGAGCAGAAGAGCACAGGAAGUUCUGUGACUGUUGAGAUGUUUUGUCAUUUUGUAUCAAAAAUACUGAAAACUGAAAUUAAAC
rnacentral:lncRNA from 1 species